AGUGAACGCGGGCGGGAGGGCGAACACAUGCAAGUCGAACGGCAGCACAGUAAGAGCUUGCUCUUACGGGUGGCGAGUGGCGGACGGGUGAGGAAUACAUCGGAAUCUACUUUUUCGUGGGGGAUAACGUAGGGAAACUUACGCUAAUACCGCAUACGACCUACGGGUGAAAGCAGGGGAUCUUCGGACCUUGCGCGAUUGAAUGAGCCGAUGUCGGAUUAGCUAGUUGGCGGGGUAAAGGCCCACCAAGGCGACGAUCCGUAGCUGGUCUGAGAGGAUGAUCAGCCACACUGGAACUGAGACACGGUCCAGACUCCUACGGGAGGCAGCAGUGGGGAAUAUUGGACAAUGGGCGCAAGCCUGAUCCAGCCAUACCGCGUGGGUGAAGAAGGCCUUCGGGUUGUAAAGCCCUUUUGUUGGGAAAGAAAAGCAGCAGGUUAAUACCCCGCUGUUCUGACGGUACCCAAAGAAUAAGCACCGGCUAACUUCGUG
rnacentral:rRNA from 1 species